CUAAUACAUGCAAGUCGAGCGAACUGAUUAGAAGCUUGCUUCUAUGACGUUAGCGGCGGACGGGUGAGUAACACGUGGGCAACCUGCCUGUAAGACUGGGAUAACUUCGGGAAACCGAAGCUAAUACCGGAUAGGAUCUUCUCCUUCAUGGGAGAUGAUUGAAAGAUGGUUUCGGCUAUCACUUACAGAUGGGCCCGCGGUGCAUUAGCUAGUUGGUGAGGUAACGGCUCACCAAGGCAACGAUGCAUAGCCGACCUGAGAGGGUGAUCGGCCACACUGGGACUGAGACACGGCCCAGACUCCUACGGGAGGCAGCAGUAGGGAAUCUUCCGCAAUGGACGAAAGUCUGACGGAGCAACGCCGCGUGAGUGAUGAAGGCUUUCGGGUCGUAAAACUCUGUUGUUAGGGAAGAACAAGUACAAGAGUAACUGCUCGUACCUUGACGGUACCUAACCAGAAAGCCACGGCUAACUACGUGCCAGCAGCCGCGGUAAUACGUAGGUGGCAAGCGUUAUCCGGAAUUAUUGGGCGUAAAGCGCGCGCAGGCGGUUUCUUAAGUCUGAUGUGAAAGCCCACGGCUCAACCGUGGAGGGUCAUUGGAAACUGGGGAACUUGAGUGCAGAAGAGAAAAGCGGAAUUCCACGUGUAGCGGUGAAAUGCGUAGAGAUGUGGAGGAACACCAGUGGCGAAGGCGGCUUUUUGGUCUGUAACUGACGCUGAGGCGCGAA
rnacentral:rRNA from 2 species